GACGAACGCUGGCGGCGUGCUUAACACAUGCAAGUCGAACGGAAAGGCCCUGCUUUUGUGGGGUGCUCGAGUGGCGAACGGGUGAGUAACACGUGAGUAACCUGCCCUUGACUUUGGUAUAACUUCAGGAAACUGGGGCUAAUACCGGAUAGGAGCUCCUGCUGCUUGGGGGGGGUUGGAAAGUUUCGGCGGUUGGGGAUGGACUCGCGGCUUAUCAGCUUGUUGGUGGGGUAGUGGCUUACCAAGGCUUUGACGGGUAGCCGGCCUGAGAGGGUGACCGGCCACAUUGGGACUGAGAUACGGCCCAGACUCCUACGGGAGGCAGCAGUGGGGAAUAUUGCACAAUGGGCGGAAGCCUGAUGCAGCAACGCCGCGUGCGGGAUGACGGCCUUCGGGUUGUAAACCGCUUUCGCCUGUGACGAAGCGUGAGUGACGGUAAUGGGUAAAGAAGCACCGGCUAACUACGUG
rnacentral:rRNA from 1 species